GGGGUCUACUAAAAUAAUUGAACUGGCUCCACACAAAUGUCCAAAAGAAACUGGGGGGUCCUGGACAAAUUCAACUGCAGUGUGAUAACCUGUGAGGGACCUACUAAAAUAAUUAAACUGGCUCCACACAAAUGUCCAAAAGUAACUGGGGGGUCCUGGACAAAUUCUACUGCAGUGUGAUAACCUCUGAGGGGUCUACUAAAAUAAUUAAACUGGCUCCACUCAAAGGUCCAUCAGUAAAUGGGUGGUCCUGGACAAAUACAACUGCAGUGUGAUAACUUGUGAGGGGUCUACUAAAAUAAUUAAACUGGCUCCACACAAAGGUCAAUCAGUAACUGGGGGGGUCCUGGACAAAUACAACUGCAGUGUGAUAACUUGUGAGGGGUCUACUAAAAUAAUUAAACUGGCUCCACACAAUGGUCUCAUACAAAGUGCCUACAGGCAAUUCACAUAACUGCAUAUUUUGUGCUUUAAAUGAAAUAAGCUGGAGCUCAAGAGUUUCCCAACCCUUUUCUGUGGUCAUGAUUGCAGACUUAAUUGAUUUGUAUAAUA